rnacentral:lncRNA from 1 species
AGUUACAGACGAAGGCCUACAGCCAAAAGUCUACGAAAGAUCGACUCUUAAAAAUGAACUGUCCUACAACCUACAAGUCGGACGCGCUCUCCAAUCCUUAUGACUUCACCUCUGCAACUCCUCAAGGCCAACCAAAGCUAUCUAGCCGCUCCAUCCACCGGGGACCUGAAAUGGUUAUUCAAUAACCACUGAGACAACGUCUCAGCAAGUUCAACCCCCUAAACCCCUAUUAGAAAGAAAAUACACCCAAAGGUGGCCAAAUCACAUCACACAGAGAACUUACCUCACCUCAAUUCCUUCCUGCAGGUUAGCACAAUUUGUAUCACAUAAUCUCAAGUAGUAAUAAUAAUUCAAACAAUUGGAACGCCAUCACUUUCAUAUAAAUCACGAUCGCACUUAGCACGCAUUCCAAUUAUUAUUCACUGUCACACAAUGGCAUAGCCCACUCACAGGUCGACUAUCUAUUAACAUUACGACAUUUCGAGAAGAAUAAGCCACGUCAUUCUAUCGACGGCAUUUCUAGAAGAAUAAAGGUCCAGUUGGUCUCGCCACUACUGCGACCAAGCCACGUCGUUCUAUCGACAACAUUUCUAGAAGAAUAAAGGUCCAGUUGGUCUCGCCACUACUGCGACCAAGCCACGUCGUUCUAUCGACAGCACUUCUAGAAGAAUAAAGGUCCAGUCGGUCUCGCCACUACUGCGACCAAGCCACGUCGUUCUAUCGACAGCACUUCUAGAAGAAUAAAGGUCCAGUCGGUCUCGCCACUACUGCGACCAAGCCACGUCGUUCUAUCGACAGCACUUCUAGAAGAAUAAAGGUCCAGUCGGUCUCGCUACUACCGCGACCAAGCCACGUCGUUCUAUCGACAGCACUUCUAGAAGAAUAAAGGUCCAGUCGGUCUCGCCACUACUGCGACCAAGCCACGUCGUUCUAUUGACAGCAUUUCUAGAAGAAUAAAGGUCCAGUCGGUCCCGCCACUACUGCGACCCGAGCCUUUCAACUAGCACACGACCAUUCGAUACCGAUCCUUGUAUACUUUACAUUCCACUCACAUAAUCCAAUUACAAUAUUAGCCAUUAACAAUCCAAUUUCAAUGCCGAACUCGACACUUGCGAUUUUAUGAAUAAAAUCCAUAUUUAUCACAAUCAACAUUCAAUUUGCCACAAUCAAUCAUCAAAUUCAAAUUCUAAAUACACAGCAACGAUCGGCAUGAAAUUCUGAGAGUUUAGGGUCCCGACGAAAUUUUUGAAUUUUAAUAAAUAAUAAAUUUUAUUCCAAAAAUUAAUUAAAUAAUAAUAUCCAUAUUUUUCGCAAUCCACGCUCAAUUUAUAAUAUCCAACCAUCAAUUUCAAAAUCCGAAUACACAGCAGCGAUUGGCACGAAAUUCUGAGCAACCGGGGUCAAAAAUAAUUUUUUCGUUUUUUUUUAAUAAUAAUAUUUUAAUAAUUUCGGAUUAUAAAAUAAUAUUAUAUUUUCCAGAAUUUCGAAGCAUUUAAAUAAUUCAAAACUAAAAUCCUUUUAUGUCACAUCAAGGCUUAACUUUAAAUAAGUUCUUUUAACCUUUAAUUUAAACACACUUAACAUAAACCAACCUCUUAAUCCAAUUUAUAAUUAAAUACACUAAUCCACCCACAUAAACUUACUUAAUUCCAACUAAGCACACUUAGGGCAUCAUUAACACUCUAAUCAAGAUUUAGUGAGUUAAACUCACCGGAUUAGCGAGCCGAGCGAACCAAAACGACGAGGACGACGAGGGGAUCGGCUUUCUCCAAAGCGGGCCAAGCAUCCGGGGUCGGGAAGCCAACCAAAACGGCCCAACACUUGCUGCCAUACCCAUUUUCUGCAGCUACUGUCCACUGUUCGAUGAGGCCGAGAAUGGGCGGAUCCGGGGCUUGGAUGAGAUGGAAAAGGACCGAGGAAGGUUGAGGGGUCGAACCGGACCAAGGCGGGACCCGAACGGUGGCCGGAGGUGGCCGAAUGGCUUCGGCACGAGCUGUUGCAGCAGUUGCGACG